rnacentral:rRNA from 1 species
UACGUAGGGUGCAAGCGUUAAUCGGAAUACUGGGCGUAAAGCGUGCGCAGGCGGUGAUGUAAGACAGAUGUGAAAUCCCCGGGCUCAACCUGGGAACUGCAUUUGUGACUGCAUCGCUGGAGUGCGGCAGAGGGGAUGGAAUUCCGCGUGUAGCAGUGAAAUGCGUAGAUAUGCGGAGGAACACCGAUGGCGAAGGCAAUCCCCUGGGCCUGCACUGACGCUCAUGCACGAAAGCGUGGGGAGCGAAACAAGGAU